rnacentral:rRNA from 1 species
ACUCCUACGGGAGGCAGCAGUGGGGAAUAUUGGACAAUGGGCGCAAGCCUGAUCCAGCCAUACCGCGUGGGUGAAGAAGGCCUUCGGGUUGUAAAGCCCUUUUGUUGGGAAAGAAAAGCAGCCGGUUAAUACCCGGUUGUUCUGACGGUACCCAAAGAAUAAGCACCGGCUAACUUCGUGCCAGCAGCCGCGGUAAUACGAAGGGUGCAAGCGUUACUCGGAAUUACUGGGCGUAAAGCGUGCGUAGGUGGUUGUUUAAGUCUGUCGUGAAAGCCCUGGGCUCAACCUGGGAAUGGCGAUGGAAACUGGACGACUAGAGUGUGGCAGAGGGUAGUGGAAUUCCUGGUGUAGCAGUGAAAUGCGUAGAGAUCAGGAGGAACAUCCGUGGCGAAGGCGACUGCCUGGGCCAACACUGACACUGAGGCACGAAAGCGUGGGGAGCAAACAGGAUUAGAUACCCUGGUAGUCCACGCCCUAAACGAUGCGAACUGGAUGUUGGGUGCAAUUUGGCACGCAGUAU